UACGGGAGGCAGCAGUGGGGAAUAUUGCACAAUGGGGGAAACCCUGAUGCAGCCAUGCCGCGUGUAUGAAGAAGGCCUUCGGGUUGUAAAGUACUUUCGGUAAUGAGGAAGGUGGUGUAUCUAAUAGGUGCAUCAAUUGACGUUAAUUACAGAAGAAGCACCGGCUAACUCCGUGCCAGCAGCCGCGGUAAUACGGAGGGUGCGAGCGUUAAUCGGAAUGACUGGGCGUAAAGGGCAUGUAGGCGGAUAAUUAAGUUAGGUGUGAAAGCCCUGGGCUCAACCUAGGAAUUGCACUUAAAACUGGUUAACUAGAGUAUUGUAGAGGAAGGUAGAAUUCCACGUGUAGCGGUGAAAUGCGUAGAGAUGUGGAGGAAUACCGGUGGCGAAGGCGGCCUUCUGGACAGAUACUGACGCUGAGAUGCGAAAGCGUGGGGAGCAAACAGGGAUUAGAUACCCUGGUAGUCCACGCUGUAAACGAUGUCGAUUUGGAGUUUGUUGCCUUGAGUGAUGGGGCUCCGAAAGCUAACGCCGAUAAAUCGACCGCCCUGGGGGAGUACGGCCCGCACGGUUAAAACUCAAAUGAAUU
rnacentral:rRNA from 1 species